rnacentral:rRNA from 1 species
AAAGGUAGCAUAAUCAUUAGUUUUUUAAUUGAAAACUUGUAUGAAUGGUUAGACAAAAGAAAAGCUGUCUCUUGGUUUUAGCUUGAAUUUCACCUUUAAGUGAAAAGGCUUAAAUUUUUUAGGGGGACGAUAAGACCCUAUGAAGCUUUAUAAUAAGUGUAGAUAUUAUUGGUAUAUAAUAUAAAAUUAAAAUAGGCAAAUAUUAUUUUAUUGGGGCGAUAUUAAUAUAAAUAAUUUAACUGUUAAAGCAACAAACACUUAUAAGUGGUAAAAUGAUCCUUUGUUAAAGAUUAAAAGAUUAAGUUACUCUAGGGAUAACAGGGUAAUUUCUUUUGAGAGUCCUUAUUGAAAAAGAAGUUUGCCACCUCGAUGUUGAAUUAAAAUAUCCGGAUGGUGCAGCCGCCAUAAGGGGAG